rnacentral:rRNA from 1 species
GACGAACGCUGGCGGCGUGCUUAACACAUGCAAGCCGAACGGAAAGGCCCUGCUUUUGUGGGGUGCUCGAGUGGCGAACGGGUGAGUAACACGUGAGUAACCUGCCCUUGACUUUGGGAUAACUUCAGGAAACUGGGGCUAAUACCGGAUAGGAGCUCCUGCUGCAUGGUGGGGGUUGGAAAGUUUCGGCGGUUGGGGAUGGACUCGCGGCUUAUCAGCUUGUUGGUGGGGUAGUGGCUUACCAAGGCUUUGACGGGUAGCCGGCCUGAGAGGGUGACCGGCCACAUUGGGACUGAGAUACGGCCCAGACUCCUACGGGAGGCAGCAGUGGGGAAUAUUGCACAAUGGGCGGAAGCCUGAUGCAGCAACGCCGCGUGCGGGAUGACGGCCUUCGGGUUGUAAACCACUUUCGCCUGUGACGAAGCGUGAGUGACGGUAAUGGGUAAAGAAGCACCGGCUAACUACGUG